rnacentral:lncRNA from 13 species
AUCCAUAGGGUGCCAACUUCUUCAAGGCAGGGUAGGAAGUGGAGGGAGUGAUCUCUGAGGCAGGGAGUAGCCUCUGCCCACUCUUGCCAUCCCUGACACCAGCCAGCCCUGGCCUAUCUUCCUGUGUCCCCAGCCAGGGGACAGAACGAAAGUCCUGCCUGGAUUGCAGAGAAGCCCACAGCAGACCACACGAGCCCCAGAAGAGCGCUGGCUGCCGUGUGCUGCAGGUUCCUGCGUCUUUUUUCCUAUGUGCCCUUUGUGUUAAUUAAAAAUGAGACCAUUUUGUACACACUGUUUCUGAACCUUCCUUUUCUCACUGAAAAACCUUUUCCCGUUUGGGAAAAGUCUCUGCUGUGACAAUGACCAGCGGCAUCAUGCUUCAUCUUCU